rnacentral:lncRNA from 1 species
UACAAACUAGAGGUAAAGAAAUGGAUUAUUCAUUCAGGUUUUGAUAAAAAGUUAUUUAGUUUGAAGCACAAAGCGAAGUAAAGAUAACAAAAAGGCCUCUAUAUUGAGAGACAGAGGGAGUCAUACAUCAUUACAUAAAAUUGGGAUUAACUUUCGUCAGAAUACUUCCCACAGCUUAGCAGUGUCGUUGGAAAGCCAUUCCACCCCUCCACACUGCACCAGAGGCCGGAGAGCUCUCUCAGAAGGCCAUGGAGACUGAAGCUAACAACUUCUGCCAGCAGGACUGAGGCCUUAAAAGAAAAAUUCAAAUUUAGAUUCCAUUCAUCAAUUAAUUGAGGAAUCACAAAUAUUCUAGAUGCAGCAGUCAUCAAUUAAACCACGCAGUGACAAGGUAGUCCCUACCUCCUUUCCCAAGGAUCCCAUUCAUUCCGAUUUUCCACGUUAUGGACUGCAAUCUACUGCCCGCCACAGUUACGGUGCGCACUCAUUCAGCACCAACAGCUGGGAUAUCCAUGAAGAGCGUCAGCUUUGGGAACUUGAAGAAGUCAAGGCUAGAGCCGCUCAGAUGGAAAAGACUAUGCGAUGGUGGUCAGACUGCACUGCCAACUGGAGAGAAAAAUGGAGUAAAGUUCGAGCAGAAAGGAACAGUGCCAGGGAGGAAGGAAGACAACUCAGAAUAAAAUUAGAGAUGACAGUGAAGGAGUUGAAUGAACUUAAAAAGAAACAAAGUCUGUCACUUCAGAGGAAGGCAUCACAAGCUAACGUCACCCAGGACCUGGAGUUUCCUACUAUUAUAAACAUGGCCUACGACAAUAGAGCUCCAUUUCAAACUACUUCACAAAUGCAUGAAUUUACUGGAGAGUGUUUGAUGGAAAGACAGUUUCCUACAGAGAAGGCAAACGAUAAGAUCAUUGGUUCUGGAAACGGUGCUGUGGUCCCUGGACUCAGGCUGCAAGUGAUAAAUCUGCCUUUGGAGGAGGAAGGAACUAAAAUCUCAGCUCUGCAGAUCCAUUUGAACGAGUUCCAGCAAUCUUUGUGGAAAGAAAGAGAAAUGCGUACAGCUUUGGAAAAAGAAUUAGAACAAAUGGCGUCUGCUUUGUCUCUGUGGAAACGGAAGUAUGACGACCUGAGAGGAUCGAAGGCAUCAGAUGGGAAAGAGCUAGAGAGACUGCAAGCUGAAAAUACCUCAGGGUGGAACAACACAAAAUUACUUGCAACAGAAAAGCAAGGACUGGAGAGAGAAAAUAGAAGACUAAAAGUCCAGUUGAAAGAAAUGGAAGAGCUCCUGGAUAGGAAAAACAGAUUAAGUGCAAAUUUUAAAGAUCCUGACUUGAAGACAUCACAGAUUGAACUGCAAGAAAAGAACAAGGUCUGGUGUUCUUGGAAGCGCCUGUUCUCUUACUGUGUGUUUUCUUCUGAGGCCUAGGUGGAUGCUGCUUUCACCUUUGUCCACCUCCAAAUCUGAAUAUUGCUUUUUUGGGCUAACGUCUGAUGGCUAGCUCUUUUCUCUGUUGUCAUAAAAAUAACAUUGCUCAUGUAUCUGAAACAGAGUGUAGCAAAUUUUGGAUGAAAAUGUGAGAGUAUGAUAAAGGAAGAAAAGACAAAUCUUGUUUUGUUUUGUUUUCCAUUAUAGCUUUGUGUUAGCAGUUUUCAAACUAUUAUCUUAUUUCCAGUAAAUGUGCUUAUCUAGUAAUUUGAGCACCUACACAGCAGCAUUUAUUGGUACCUAUGAUAAGUAUUUACAUAAACACUUAAAUUUACCUGAGGUUUACUGUUCUCUGAUUCCCUUUUUGUCUGAGAAUCAUUAUUUUGAGUGAAUUGUGUCUUAUUUUUUUGCAAAGAGAUGUUAUAAUUAUAGCAAAACUAAGACAACCAAGAUUAAUAAAAUUAACUUGGGCAAAUUUAAAUUGUUUGCAUAUUUUCCCUUUAAGCCAAUAGAGAUGGGGCUGUAGAUGGGAACAUUUUUCUUUCUUAAAUAAAUAAUUUACAGAUUUUAAAAUGUACUUUCAGUGACAGAUAAUGUUAUAAUUUGUAUAGUUUACUAUAAAUAGGCUAUAAUAUAUAUACACUUUGUUUCCAAAUUCUUCCAUUAAAGUAUCUACCAUAUUUGAAUGUAUAAUUCUAUUUUUUCAAUUUAUUUUAACAACUUUAAAAGUGACUGAUAAUUUCAUAGUUGUGAAUUGUGUACAUUGUUCAUACUAAUACAAGCUCUAACAGCCAAAUGGCCAAAAAAUUAAUUCAAUAUCACUUUUCCUAACUCUUUUAUGAAUUUCAGGGUGUAUCACAAAUGCAGGAUGAAAAUGCAUUAGUGCAUCAUGACUUGACAAUAGAAAUGUCUAAAGUUAAAUGUCAAAGUCAGUGAUCCCAGUUCUGUAUUGUAUAGAUUCAUCAUCGGUUCUAAUGCUGUAUUUCGUUCUGAAAUAUAUGCAACUCACAAAUCUGCAGAGAAAAUUUUUCUUCAUUUCUAAAUAGAAUUAUCUCAACUGUGGAAUGUAGUUUGAUUAUGAAAAUAUACUUUUCUCCUUGAUUCAUUCAGAACAAGCGUGUAUUUAUGUCAUUUUUCUGUCAGCAACUAGUCUCCAUGCUAAUAGUGGGAAGAUGAAUGGCUCAUCAACCCUGCGGGACCUGGGCUUGCAGUCUACACAGACAGUUGCACAUGCAGAUUACAACCAAUAGCACACUGAGAUGAUUCUUAAGAGUGACGUAGAAUGUGAACACAGAUGAAGAGGUAGUUCAUUCUUCUUAAUUUUUCGACCUUUCUAGUUAUAUCAAAAUGUCAGGAAGUAAGGCAUAUCAGUCAGGGAAUAUAAUGGCUGUUUGGAGCUGCCAUAGGUGACAUUGGCAUCCUGUCAUUAAGGUAGAUGCAGGUGAAACCUGCUCUCCUUGGGACUGCUGUGGUUAUUUGUUCUAUAAUGAGGCGUAACUUGGAAACUGUAGGAUUCUGGAAAGUCUAGCCAAUCGGUCAGGCUGUUCAGCAGUCAGAAGAUUGGAAGAUUCUCUAAAUGUUUAUCAGUUUAAUGCUGACUGGGAAUAUUUGUUAUUUUUAUCCACUUCACUAAGAAUACAGAUUCCUGAAACCAACCUAAUGACUUACUAUGUAGCUGAUACAGGUCAAAACCCUAAUACCACAAAAUCUCAGAAUGUCAAGAUUCAGAUGCUCCCAGAUGCCAAACAAAUCACCAUGUGCAAAAAAUGUAAAAAUCCAGGGAAUAAGAUAGAUUUUAUCAUAAUUGGAAUCUCAAAACAUGAUUGGAGUUUUAACAUCAUACAUAUAUAUGAUAUUGUGCAUAUAUAUACACUAUAAAUAUAUAUAUACACACUAUAAAUAUAUAUACUUAUAUGCCUUAUAUGAGUAUCAAUUCUCUCUUGUGUUUUCUGUCUCUAUAUCUUUCUCUGUAUAUAUUUGUGUAAGUAUGUGUGUACUAUAUAUGAGAAGCACAUAUAGAAAUAGGUAUAUACAUACCAUAUAUGUGUACUGUGUCUAUAUACGCCUACAUAUGCAUAUAAAUAUUCUACCUGAGUGACUUUGGGCACAGCAUAGACACUACUGUAACCAUCACUCACUAAUUCCUAUUUAAAGGGAAAUAUGAUCUCUUACCAUAUAAUAUUUAUAUCUAGUCACAUUUACCAAAAAUUUGUAGCAGACACAAAACUAUUUGCUACUUAAGGCAUUUUAAUAAUGUCUUAGAUUUAAUAACACUGUUCAAUAUAUUUUUAUAAAUCCUCACUAAUACAGUGAGGAUCUUUUACUUUAUUUGUUUAACUUCCAUGCUACAGAGAAUGUAUUCUUAAAAAAUGAACGUCAAUUUUAAAUUGCAGUUAUUCAAAAGCAAAGAUUACUUUUACAUGAGUGAUCCUAUCAAUUUAAUCUCCAUCCAGUACUUACAUUUAUAUAUUCAGGCAUAUGUAUACAUUAAUCUUUUGUAACUUAAGAAAAACAGCAAUACAUCUGAUCUUUUUGUGGUAUGUUAGAAAAUUAUCACUUGAGUAGUAACUAUUUGAAAGCAUAAAUCACUAUCAUAGGCUUUUCUAGAAUAAUCUCUGCAUGUAGACCUUAUAAUUUCUUGUAGCUUCUGGAAAUAGUGACCCUGUUGCAUGGUUCUAUGGCAUUAGUGUUUUUCACAAAAAAAUGGCAUCAGACAAGAGAACUUCAGUGUUAGUACUUGUCAGAAUAUAGCCCUCAUUUUACUUAUUUAUUUAUUUAUUUAUUUUUCCUGUUCCCAGACUUGAGCUCAAGACCUCACGCUUGCCAGGCAGGUGCUGUGCCCCUGAGGUAAAUCCCUAGCCCCCUAGCCCUCAUUUUAAAUGAUGGCAAAGACAUUUCAAAAUUAGCUUUAUAAAAACAUAAUUAAAUCACAGUAUAUAUUUUCAUGCAAUUAUAAAUAUGUACUUAAAGCUCUUACUGUACAGCGAUUAGUAAAUUAUGUCCUUGGUAUAUAAUUAUUAGGAUGUAUACUUUACCCAACUUUUUAGAAAUCAGUCUGUAUUUAGGAACAUACAUGAAUAGAACUUUUAGAAUAAAAAUGAUACAGAGUUUCAAAACAAGAUGACAGGAAAUUAACAAUAGUUAUUAUAUUCCAUAUUGUUUUCUUCAAAGUAGUUGUUCAGAUUACCAGACAGGUAUGCAAAAUUGAUCAAACAAUAUGACUAACUGUUCCUUUCAAUGAACUAAUAAAAAUUAGUAGUACAAUUAUCUUAGCUAUCUUGUGUGUGUGUAUACAUAUA